AAAAAAUAUGAAAAAUCUCCCUUCCCUUCACAAACGUCCAACUCCCCUCUCUCCCCUCAUUUUCCCCCACCUCUCUUCCUCCUUCGUCCUCUCUCUCUCUCCCCCCCUCUUUCACGCAAGCCGUCCACCUGUCACCAACGACCGUCAAAUUAAACCUCCAGAAUCCUCUUCACGUCCUCUUUCCAACCCCCAAGUUAGUUUCUACAAAUUCGUAGCCGAAUUUCGUCAAUUUCAGAUCUAAGAAGCGGUGGCCGCGGAUUUUUCGACAAAUUUUCGGCCAAACCUGCCGGAAUCGGACCUCGACCCAAGAGAUUGGGACGAGGAAGUGAAUCAAGUUUGUUUCCAACCUGGGCCGAGAAGAAUUGGACCCGCCCACGUAUGGAUUUUUUUUGUAUGCAU